CACGCUGGCCGGAAUCCGAUAGUGAUUUGGGGGGUAAACCGGCAGGGAUGCCGGUUUAGCCGCCCCGCGCCAUGGAUGGCGCGUGGCGGCGGCCCCCCCACAUCACUGUCGGAUUACGGGCACACCGA
rfam:Pseudomonas sp. 1 R 17 genome assembly PSEFL294_LIB5394, contig: PSEFL294_LIB5394_000056